GCAAGUCGAGGGGUAACAGGGAGCUUGCUCCGCUGACGACCGGCGCACGGGUGCGUAACGCGUAUACAAUCUACCUUUUGCUACGGGAUAGCCUUUGGAAACGAAGAUUAAUACCGUAUAGUAUAUAUAGGCCUCAUGGUUUUUAUAUUAAAGGUUACAACAGAAGAUGAGUAUGCGUCCUAUUAGCUUGUUGGUGUGGUAACGGCACACCAAGGCUACGAUAGGUAGGGGCCCUGAGAGGGGGAUC
rnacentral:rRNA from 1 species